GCCCACCCAUCCUCAUCCACUAGUGAUGCCUGCUGUUGAACCCACCCAUCCUCAUCCACUAGUGAUGCCUGCUGUUGAGCCCACCCAUCCUCAUCCACUAGUGAUGCCUGCUGUUGAACCCACCCAUCCUCAUCCACUAGUGAUGCCUGCUGUUGAGCCCAUUAAUGCACAUUGAGAGCCAUGGUAGACUAGAUGGUGCUGGGAGCUGAGACAGCAAAAAUUAAGAAGAUUCAGUCCUGAAUCUUCUAUCAGCUCUUAGUGAUAACAUUUUCAGCACACAGUGAUGACGAAGGUCAUUCAGAGGCUGUGUGAGAGCACACUGACCAUCGGCCGUAGCUACAGACCACACGAGUAACUAAGCCCCACAUCUAUUUUUCCUGUAACAAACACCUUGUCCCUUUCUUCUUAAUCCCGUUGGAAACCAUUUCGAAUGGCCUGUGAAACUCCACCACACUGCUGGAGGGGAGGCAACUAAUCAGUCGGAACCAGAAUUGGAGAUGGGAAAGGACCAACAAUUGAACUGGAUUUGAAUCCAUCAAUGUCUGCCUUAUGACUGAUGCUGCCAGUGUUUUCCUAUUAGGACAGGCUCAAACUGAUAAAGGGACAGACCAGUCCUAUCAAAUUAUACUGAUAAAAAAUAAUUCACAUGGUAAAAUUAUGACGGUGGCAAUCAUAAGUGCCUCCCAAGUAGCUGCAAUGUGGAUGGACUUCCAGAGAACUUCAAAAAUGUAUUACUGUGUCAGAGAAGUCCAAUUAACGGCUGAAAGAUUCAUUUGUAAACAGAAAAAUCUGCAUUUGGGCUACCAAGACGGCUCAGCACAAGAAGAUCCCUGCUGCUGAAUCUGACAGAGAAGUUCUUGAGUUUGGUCCCCAAGUCCCAUAUGGUGGCAAAAAGAGAAUAGGCUCCUGCAAUUGUCCUCUGACCUCCAUACUUGCACCAUGGCAUGUGCUCUCACGGGUGACACACAUCACACACACACACACACACACACACACCAAAUAGAAUGAAAACCUUAAAAAAUAAAUAAAUAAAACUUC
rnacentral:lncRNA from 1 species